UACGUAGGGCGCGAGCGUUGUCCGGAAUUAUUGGGCGUAAAGAGCUCGUAGGCGGCUUGUCACGUCGGGUGUGAAAGCCCGGGGCUUAACCCCGGGUCUGCAUUCGAUACGGGCUAGCUAGAGUGUGGUAGGGGAGAUCGGAAUUCCUGGUGUAGCGGUGAAAUGCGCAGAUAUCAGGAGGAACACCGGUGGCGAAGGCGGGUCUCUGGGCCGAUACUGACGCUGAGGAGCGAAAGCGUGGGGAGCGAACAGG
rnacentral:rRNA from 1 species